GAGGGGACGCACGCGGGGACGCUGGGGGACGUGGGGGCGCCGAGGGACUUGGAGGGCGCCGAGGGACGUGGGGGCGCUGAGGGACGUUGGGGGUGCUGAGGGGACGCCCGCAGGGGCCGCUGAGGGACGUGGGAGUGUUGAGACACAGACACAGGAAGCAUCAACUCUGAGGCUUUGGCCAGGAUGUGAGCCCGACUUUCGCAGCCCCAACUGGCAGGCUGACCUCAUGUGAACUCCCUGGCGAUGGCAUCCUGGAGACACCCACAUGGCUGAGCUGGCACCAUAGGUGAGGCCACUUCCUGCGAAGGUAGCUGGAUGCUCCUGCCUGGAGCUGCCCCCGGACCACAGAGCAUCCAGGAGAUGAAUGCACUUCCAGCCCCGCCACCCUGGGGAGAUAUACAGCUGAGGUGGCAGCUUUGGAGCAAGCAGGGCAGAGAUGCUUCCCCCUGAGGUCCCUCCCAGCUCUGCUACCUUGUCACUCAAGGUAUGGGUUGGUUGUGUUCCCCAAAAAUACAUGUUAAAAUCUGAGUCUUCAGCACCUCAGAAUAUGACAUCAUUUGGAAAUAAGGUCAUUGCAGAUCUAAUUACCAUAGUGACCCCUUAUCCUGGGGAAAAUGUUCCAAGGCCCUGGUGGAUGUCUGAAACCUCAGGCACUCAUAAUCCAGGUUCAGUUUCUGCCAGCACUAAUUUGGUUUAUUCCACAUGGCUGGAGCCACUGCGGGACUCCAUUUGUUCCGGGGCCACCUUCCUGUCACCUUUUACUGUUUCUUGAGUCAGCAAGAAAGGCAGAUCCGACUGAAGACUCCAGCACUCUCCUCAGCUGCAGCCCCCACAGAGCUCCGCGAAGUCCUUUCUCCCACAGGACAGAUCUGAGGCACCCACCAUUAGAAGAAAGGAGUGGAGAAAUGAUAUGCAGGAAGAAGGCCCAUUCUGAUUCACCAAUCGCAUGGACGCACUUUCCUACCAGGCUAGGAGGGAGGAAAGUAGAGCCCCACCCUGACUGCUAAGCCGUUUGCUUUGGUGUCAUGAAAAAAGAGUUCAGCUUCCCAAAUCAGAGAGGAAAAGGUUUUCAAGGGGUCCCCUAUUUCUAUUAUGUAAGCUUUAAAUGACAAAGUGGACCUCUGGGGCCAACGUGGGUGUGUGAUGGUGGUUUUGUGGGAUUCUCCCCAUAGCCCCAUCAGACGGCCUCACCUUCUGGGUCUCAGUGGCCCCAGGUGCAACACGGCUCCUCCAGAAAUGAUGACAGCCCUGGCGACCAAGGACUCCCUGUGCCACUGGGUUUG
rnacentral:lncRNA from 1 species